AGAUUGAACGCUAGCGGGAUGCUUUACACAUGCAAGUCGAACGGCAGCGCGGACUUCGGUCUGGCGGCGAGUGGCGAACGGGUGAGUAAUAUAUCGGAACGUGCCCAGUAGCGGGGGAUAACUACGCGAAAGCGUGGCUAAUACCGCAUACGCCCGUACGGGGGAAAGGGGGGAUUCUUCGGAACCUCUCACUAUUGGAGCGGCCGAUAUCAGAUUAGCUAGUUGGUGUAGGUAAAGGCUC
rnacentral:rRNA from 1 species